UAGCAGAGCUCUGCUCAGGACUCAGUCUGGGCUUACACUGGAGAUCAGUCUCCGCAUGUUUGGACACUCUGCACGGCCCUGGUGCCAUGCUAGCCUGGCUGUGAGGAACAUCAUGUCACAGUCUUGGUUUAUUUCAGCUCUGAGAGUCACCCAGACUUAAUUAUCUUUUUCAUGACGUCUGUUUGGAGACAAUCUAAAAAAUGCAGCCUUGGAAGAAUGGAAGUCAUUCACAUCUGGGAUGGCAUAAGGAGCUGUCGGGAUGGAUUUCACGGGAAAUUACAUACAUACUUCAUUCGCCAGUGUGUGUUGACAUCAUAUCCGUACACAGAGAAAAUAAGCUCCGGCUACUGUAGCGCGUGUAUGGUGUGGGAGUAGCUGAAAGUUUGUCACAACGAACGAGAAAAAUUUGCCAUGGUUCAUCCAAAAUGGCAAACCCAGAGGAAUCACCAGUUGUAAAAACAAAGAAACCCCAAACAGAGCAGAGUCUACAAGCAAAAAGAGAAAGUGAGAGAGUCCGUAAUAAAACCUGAAUCAACAUCGGCUUGGCUUUUCAGAGAUGGCGACAACUCCGAGAUCUGAAAGGAUUUAAAAGCAACCCAGAAAUGGCUUUUUUCUUACUCAACAGAUGUCCUGUAUCCAGUGUACACCAUUGCCUCGAACCACAUUCAUCCACGGAGAGGAGCAGAGCUGAAGCACAACUUGCGUCAUUACCAAAACAAUGGUCUUCCGCAAGACACGUGCAGUUUUAUUUUUUAACCACUAGAGGGCCAAAAGUUACAUAGUGUAGCUAUGUUAUCUACUGAAUCCUAUCUGGCUAAGCGGGAAUGUGAUCGUGGUCAAGUGAAAACUAGAGUGAACAUUGGCAGGGUAUUUGAUUCCUGGAGGGACCCAAAACCGACUCUGAAUUGGCGUUCUUCUUAUUGGACAGGGUACUUAGCUUUACAGGCUCCAUAUGGUUAGGAUGAGGAUGGCGGCAGGAUUCGGGCAUCUGCUACCUCCCAGGUACAAACUGAGACCCCUUUGUACAAUGGGUACAUUUUACCUGGAAACUGGAGCUCACAAGUGCCCAUACGUUCAACAACACUUCCAGAGUCGGCCUGUCUGUGAAGUCAUUAGCCCCUUUCACACAUGCAACCAGUGCCUAUAAAAAGUAUUCAUUACUGAGAUGGGAAAGACUGUGCAUACAACUGUUGCCCAGGUUCUUCAUCAGUCACAGCUUUUUGGGAGUAUGAAAUCUCGGCUAGAGUUUGCCAGAAGGCAUGUGGGAGACUCUAAAGUCAGCUGGAAGAAGAUUCUAUGGUCUGAUAAGACCAAAAUUGAGCUUUUUGGCCAUCAAACCAGACGCUAUGUUUGGCACGAACCGAAAACAGCACAUAAUCAAAAAUACACCAUCCCCACCAUGAAGCACGGUGGUGGUAGCAUCAUGCUGUGGGGAUGCUUCUCUGCAUCAAGCCCUGGAAGGACUGUAAAGGUAGAGGGUAGAAUUAAUGCUGCAAAAUACAGGGAAAUCCUGGAGGAAAACCUGAAGCAGUCUGCAAGAGAACUGAGACUUGGGAGAAGAUUUGUUUUCCAGCAAGACAACAAUCCCAAUCAUACAGACAAAGCUACACAAGAAUGGUUUCAAAACAACGCUGUAAAUGUCCUGGAGUGGCCAAGUCAGAGUCCAGACCUUAACCCAAAUAAAAAUCUGUGGAUGGACUUGAAAAAGGCUGUGCACUCACGAUACCCACAAAACCGGACAGAGCUUGAGCAGUUUUGCAAAGAAGAAUGGGGAAAAAUUGAAGUGUCCAGAUGUGCCAUGUUGAUAGAAACCCAUCCACAUUGGCUCAAGGCUGUAAUUGCUGCCAAAGGUGCAUCUACAUACUUACUUGAAGGGGGUGAAUACUUAUACAACCAAGUAUUUUGUGUUUAAUUUUUUAAUUUUAUUUUAAUUUUAUUUAUUUUUUAUAAAUUUAGACUAAUUGGUAGAAAUGUGUUUUGACUUAGGUAUGAAAGUCUUUUUUCUGUUGAUCAGUGUAAAAAAAAAUCAUAAUUUCACUUUGAUUCAAUAUUAAAAACAAUAAAAUAUAUAAACAUCCAUAUUUUUAUAGGCACUGUAAGUAAGGAGGCUAAAACAAGCUCUAAAUCUCAGUUACUAGAAUGGAGAAACAAUUCCAAAGCUUCAUUGAGCAUAAAGACUAUGCAAGCGAUGUUAUAUUUUAGUGUUAACUUUUCAGUUUUUACUCUCACACAAAUGCAAUGACAUUUGGACUGGUUAGAUUUUGUUAAGGAAAACCAUAACAUCUACCGAUGCAGAAAAUUAAACAUUAUAUUAAGGAUAAGUACUAAAACUUGUCAAUAACACCCAAACACACAAUGAUAUGGUGACCAUAUGGUACAUGUAUGCAUCCAUGCCUCAUUGAGUCCACUAAAUCCACAGGAAUGAAAACAAUUUAUCUAGCAUCUAAAUCUGAAUGCUUGGCAUGAUGUGUUUGGCACUACAAGGUGAGACAGAGUUUAGCUAUUAUGCCACCCGCAGCUGGAACCAGCUUCCAUAAGGGGUCAGGUGUGCUCCAACAGUAGCCACAUUCAAGUCCAGUCUAAAAAACACAUAUUUUUAUCUGUGCAUUUAUUCACUGAGCACUGUGCUGCACUUACUGAUUAUACAGCAUCAUUUUAUUUCUUCAUUCUUUUUCUUUUCUUUUUUAUUCAUUUUAAUAAUUUUUACUUUUUUAAAUUUAUUUUAUAACUUUGUAUUCCUAUUUCUUGUUCUUAAUUGGUUUUAAAAUUUAUUUUAUCUUGUAUUUCACUCUGAAUUGCCAUUGUGAAAUGUGCUACAUAAACUUGCCUUGCCUUGCCUUACUACAAUUAUGAAUGCAAAAAUUUGCAUGGCUAUCUACUGCCCAUUUAUGUGAAGAAACUACAAAGUCAGCAGUAAAACUAAAUCAGUUGUGUUACUUGUGUAUGAAAGGAUCGGCUUGAACAGACAGGCAGCUUUACUUUUUGCCAACUUUCCUCUUCUCUGCCACCCACCAGUCUUCUCCACGUAGUGUUUCUUUUGGAUAUUCCAGAGAACUGCAGUCAAAAAAAAAACAAAAAAAAAAACUGCUUUUAAUCAGCACAGUGUGGUUCUUGAGUUUAGACCCCUAUCACCAGGGGUCCACCACUUUGAAAGUCACCCUCUGUUGCUCUGUUUUUUUCCCUCCUGGAAGUUGUGUGGGCUACAUGCCCCCUUAAAGCACAUGGAACCUCUGUUUCAUCUGCCAGCGUGGUUCCCAUUUUUUCAAUAAAAUGGAAGAACAAAUGUGGCUUUUCAAUAUAACAGAAAGGGACUAAGAGAUUAAGAUGCAUUACAUCACUCGAUUC